GAGUUUGAUCAUGGCUCAGAUUGAACGCUGGCGGCAUGCCUUACACAUGCAAGUCGAACGGCAGCGCGGACUUCGGUCUAGCGGCGAGUGGCGAACGGGUGAGUAAUACAUCGGAACGUACCCUGUUGUGGGGGAUAACUAGUCGAAAGAUUAGCUAAUACCGCAUACGACCUGAGGGUGAAAGUGGGGGACCGCAAGGCCUCACGCAGCAGGAGCGGCCGAUGUCUGAUUAGCUAGUUGGUGGGGUAAGAGCCUACCAAGGCGACGAUCAGUAGCUGGUCUGAGAGGACGAUCAGCCACACUGGGACUGAGACACGGCCCAGACUCCUACGGGAGGCAGCAGUGGGGAAUUUUGGACAAUGGGGGCAACCCUGAUCCAGCAAUG
rnacentral:rRNA from 1 species